UAAUCUGCGAGUGGAGGGUUCCUUGGAAUAGCAAGAAAGGCGGAAGAAAUUGGUUGAGGUUCAUAGCACUUUCGAGUUGCUGCUGCAAAAUCCCUGAGCAUCAACCGAGUUGGAUCGAUUUGGAGGCGAUCUGCUGGAGCAUACUGAGGAUUGAUCCAUCAGGAUAUGAUUCCUGUAGGUAUGGGGCAGCAGCAGCAGCAUCGUUCUCAGGAGGAUGUGGUGUGGGGAGCACAGGAGUUCAUCUCAAGGCAUCGCAUGGACCUUGCAGCUUCACCAACUCGUCUCAGCUUCAGUAUACGACGGCGUUGGUCUGCCAUGAAAUUGCCACAAGCAGGGCAGCUACGAGAGGCCUGUCUAUUAGUUGUUCCACGAAUUGCCCCAACCCAAUUUUGGUUUUGGGCAAGGCACUGCAGCACAGGGUAAGUGGAGCUUGUUCUCUAUUGCAUGUCAAUCCUCAUGUAAUUUCGGCGUGCAUGCCAGUUUGGUUGGGUUGCAACAAGAAAAUGAAAUAACUGCUCGCCAUGCCUUAAGCA